CGGACGGGUGAGUAAUGUCUGGGAAACUGCCUGAUGGAGGGGGAUAACUACUGGAAACGGUAGCUAAUACCGCAUAACGUCGCAAGACCAAAGAGGGGACCUUCGGGCCUCUUGCCAUCGGAUGUGCCCAGAUGGGAUUAGCUAGUAGGUGGGGUAACGGCCCACCUAGGCGACGAUCCCUAGCUGGUCUGAGAGGAUGACCAGCCACACUGGAACUGAGACACGGUCCAG
rnacentral:rRNA from 1 species